rnacentral:lncRNA from 1 species
AGUCCAGCAAGAUGCCGGUGGAAGACGCAGCUCCUGGGCCUGCCAGAACAGGUAGCAAGGCCCUUGUGGCAAGCAGCUCACCGACCUUCUCCGGGUGUCUGUACCUUCCUGGGCAAGGCAUCAUCCUCUCACUGGCCCUGGCUGGCAUUCUUGGCAUCUGUAUUGUGGUGGUGGUGUCCAUUUGGCUUUUCAGAAGGAAGAGUAUCAAAAAAGGUGAUAACAAGGGAGUCAUUUACAAGCCAGCCACCAAGAUGGAGACUGAGGCCCACGCUUGAGGUCCCCGGAGCUCCCGGGCACAUCCAGGAAGGACCUUGCUUUGGACCCUACACACUUCGGCUCUCUGGACACUUGCGACACCUCAAGGUGUUCUCUGUAGCUCAAUCUGCAAACAUGCCAGGCCUCAGGGAUCCUCUGCUGGGUGCCUCCUUGCCUUGGGACCAUGGCCACCCCAGAGCCAUCCGAUCGAUGGAUGGGAUGCACUCUCAGACCAAGCAGCAGGAAUUCAAAGCUGCUUGCUGUAACUGUGUGAGAUUGUGAAGUGGUCUGAAUUCUGGAAUCACAAACCAAGCCAUGCUGGUGG